CUACGGGGCGCUCCAGUGAGGAAUAUUGGACAAUGGGGGCAACCCUGAUCCAGCCAUGCCGCGUGAGUGCUGACGGCCUUAGGGUUGUAAAGCUCUUUCAGUAGUGAAGAUAAUGACGGUAACUACAGAAGAAGCCCCGGCUAACUUCGUGCCAGCAGCCGCGGUAAUACGAAGGGGGCUAGCGUUGUUCGGAAUCACUGGGCGUAAAGCGCGCGUAGGCGGACUUUUAAGUCAGGGGUGAAAUCCCGAGGCUCAACCUCGGAACUGCCUUUGAUACUGGAAGUCUUGAGUUCGAGAGAGGUGAGUGGAAUACCGAGUGUAGAGGUGAAAUUCGUAGAUAUUCGGUGGAACACCAGUGGCGAAGGCGGCUCACUGGCUCGAUACUGACGCUGAGGUGCGAAAGCGUGGGGAGCAAACAGGAUUAGAUACCCCUGUAGUC
rnacentral:rRNA from 1 species